AGAGCGAACGCUGGCGGCAGGCUUAACACAUGCAAGUCGAGCGGGCGUAGCAAGUACGUCAGCGGCAGACGGGUGAGUAACGCGUGGGAACGUACCUUUUGGUUCGGAACAACACAGGGAAACUUGUGCUAAUACCGGAUAAGCCCUUACGGGGAAAGAUUUAUCGCCGAAAGAUCGGCCCGCGUCUGAUUAGCUAGUUGGUGAGGUAACGGCUCACCAAGGCGACGAUCAGUAGCUGGUCUGAGAGGAUGAUCAGCCACAUUGGGACUGAGACACGGCCCAAACUCCUACGGGAGGCAGCAGUGGGGAAUAUUGGACAAUGGGCGAAAGCCUGAUCCAGCCAUGCCGCGUGAGUGAUGAAGGCCCUAGGGUUGUAAAGCUCUUUGUGCGGGAAGAUAAUGACGGUACCGCAAGAUAAGCCCCGGCUAACUUCGUGCCAGCAGCCGC
rnacentral:rRNA from 1 species